rnacentral:tRNA from 1 species
CGGGGUGUGGCGCAGUCUGGUAGCGUACUUGGUUUGGGACCAAGGGGCCGGAGGUUCGAACCCUCUCACCCCGA